AUUGAACGCUGGCGGCAGGCCUAACACAUGCAAGUCGAGCGGAUGACGGGAGCUUGCUCCUUGAUUCAGCGGCGGACGGGUGAGUAAUGCCUAGGAAUCUGCCUGGUAGUGGGGGACAACGUUUCGAAAGGAACGCUAAUACCGCAUACGUCCUACGGGAGAAAGCAGGGGACCUUCGGGCCUUGCGCUAUCAGAUGAGCCUAGGUCGGAUUAGCUAGUUGGUGAGGUAAUGGCUCACCAAGGCGACGAUCCGUAACUGGUCUGAGAGGAUGAUCAGUCACACUGGAACUGAGACACGGUCCAGACUCCUCAGGGAGGCAGCAGUGGGGAAUAUUGGACAAUGGGCGAAAGCCUGAUCCAGCCAUGCCGCGUGUGUGAAGAAGGUCUUCGGAUUGUAAAGCACUUUAAGUUGGGAGGAAGGGCAGUAAGUUAAUACCUUGCUGUUUCGACGUUACCGACAGAAUAAGCACCGGCUAACUCUGUGCCAGCCGCCGCCGUAACAC
rnacentral:rRNA from 1 species